AUUUAUAAGAAUAUGAUGUUGGUUCAGAUUAAGCGCUAAAUAAGGACAUGACACAUGCGAAUCAUACGUUUAUUAUUGAUAAGAUAAUAAAUAUGUGGUGUAAACGUGAGUAAUUUUAUUAGGAAUUAAUGAACUAUAGAAUAAGCUAAAUACUUAAUAUAUUAUUAUAUAAAAAUAAUUUAUAUAAUAAAAAGGAUAUAUAUAUAAUAUAUAUUUAUCUAUAGUCAAGCCAAUAAUGGUUUAGGUAGUAGGUUUAUUAAGAGUUAAACCUAGCCAACGAUCCAUAAUCGAUAAUGAAAGUUAGAACGAUCACGUUGACUCUGAAAUAUAGUCAAUAUCUAUAAGAUACAGCAGUGAGGAAUAUUGGACAAUGAUCGAAAGAUUGAUCCAGUUACUUAUUAGGAUGAUAUAUAAAAAUAUUUUAUUUUAUUUAGUUCCGGGGCCCGGCCACGGGAGCCGGAACCCCGAAAGGAGAAAUAUUAAAUAUUUAUAAUAAUAAUAAUAAUAAUAUAUAUAUAUAAAUUGAUUAAAAAUAAAAUCCAUAAAUAAUUAAAAUAAUGAUAUUAAUUACCAUAUAUAUUUUUAUAUGGAUAUAUAUAUUAAUAAUAAUAUUAAUUUUAUUAUUAUUAAUAAUAUAUUUUAAUAGUCCUGACUAAUAUUUGUGCCAGCAGUCGCGGUAACACAAAGAGGGCGAGCGUUAAUCAUAAUGGUUUAAAGGAUCCGUAGAAUGAAUUAUAUAUUAUAAUUUAGAGUUAAUAAAAUAUAAUUAAAGAAUUAUAAUAGUAAAGAUGAAAUAAUAAUAAUAAUUAUAAGACUAAUAUAUGUGAAAAUAUUAAUUAAAUAUUAACUGACAUUGAGGGAUUAAAACUAGAGUAGCGAAACGGAUUCGAUACCCGUGUAGUUCUAGUAGUAAACUAUGAAUACAAUUAUUUAUAAUAUAUAUUAUAUAUAAAUAAUAAAUGAAAAUGAAAGUAUUCCACCUGAAGAGUACGUUAGCAAUAAUGAAACUCAAAACAAUAGACGGUUACAGACUUAAGCAGUGGAGCAUGUUAUUUAAUUCGAUAAUCCACGACUAACCUUACCAUAUUUUGAAUAUUAUAAUAAUUAUUAUAAUUAUUAUAUUACAGGCGUUACAUUGUUGUCUUUAGUUCGUGCUGCAAAGUUUUAGAUUAAGUUCAUAAACGAACAAAACUCCAUAUAUAUAAUUUUAAUUAUAUAUAAUUUUAUAUUAUUUAUUAAUAUAAAGAAAGGAAUUAAGACAAAUCAUAAUGAUCCUUAUAAUAUGGGUAAUAGACGUGCUAUAAUAAAAUGAUAAUAAAAUUAUAUAAAAUAUAUUUAAUUAUAUUUAAUUAAUAAUAUAAAACAUUUUAAUUUUUAAUAUAUUUUUUUAUUAUAUAUUAAUAUGAAUUAUAAUCUGAAAUUCGAUUAUAUGAAAAAAGAAUUGCUAGUAAUACGUAAAUUAGUAUGUUACGGUGAAUAUUCUAACUGUUUCGCACUAAUCACUCAUCACGCGUUGAAACAUAUUAUUAUCUUAUUAUUUAUAUAAUAUUUUUUAAUAAAUAUUAAUAAUUAUUAAUUUAUAUUUAUUUAUAUCAGAAAUAAUAUGAAUUAAUGCGAAGUUGAAAUACAGUUACCGUAGGGGAACCUGCGGUGGGCUUAUAAAUAUC
rnacentral:ncRNA from 1 species